GACGAACGCUGGCGGCGUGCUUAACACAUGCAAGUCGAACGGAAAGGCCCUGCUUUUGUGGGGUGCUCGAGUGGCGAACGGGUGAGUAACACGUGAGUAACCUGCCCUUGACUUUGGGAUAACUUCAGGAAACUGGGGCUAAUACCGGAUAGGAGCUCCUGCUGCAUGGUGGGGGUUGGAAAGUUUCGGCGGUUGGGGAUGGACUCGCGGCUUAUCAGCUUGUUGGUGGGGUAGUGGCUUACCAAGGCUUUGACGGGUAGCCGGCCUGAGAGGGUGACCGGCCACAUUGGGACUGAGAUACGGCCCAGACUCCUACGGGAGGCAGCAGUGGGGAAUAUUGCACAAUGGGCGGAAGCCUGAUGCAGCAACGCCGCGUGCGGGAUGACGGCCUUCGGGUUGUAAACCGCUUUCGCCUGUGACGAAGCGUGAGUGACGGUAAUGGGUAAAGAAGCACCGGCUAACUACGUGCCAGCAGCCGCGGUGAUACGUAGGGUGCGAGCGUUGUCCGGACUUAUUGGGCGUGAAGGGCUCGUAGGUGGUUGAUCGCGUCGGAAGUGUAAUCUUGGGGCUUAACCCUGAGCGUGCUUUCGAUACGGGUUGACUUGAGGAAGGUAGGGGAGAAUGGAAUUCCUGGUGGAGCGGUGGAAUGCGCAGAUAUCAGGAGGAACACCAGUGGCGAAGGCGGUUCUCUGGGCCUUUCCUGACGCUGAGGAGCGAAAGCGUGGGGAGCGAACAGGCUUAGAUACCCUGGUAGUCCACGCUGUAAACGGUGGGUACUAGGUGUGGGGUCCAUUCCACGGGUUCCGUGCCGUAGCUAACGCUUUAAGUACCCCGCCUGGGGAGUACGGCCGCAAGGCUAAAACUCAAAGGAAUUGACGGGGCCCCGCACAAGCGGCGGAGCAUGCGGAUUAAUUCGAUGCAACGCGUAGAACCUUACCUGGGUUUGACAUGGAUCGGGAGUGCUCAGAGAUGGGUGUGCCUCUUUUGGGGUCGGUUCACAGGUGGUGCAUGGCUGUCGUCAGCUCGUGUCGUGAGAUGUUGGGUUAAGUCCCGCAACGAGCGCAACCCUUGUUCACUGUUGCCAGCACGUUAUGGUGGGGACUCAGUGGAGACCGCCGGGGUCAACUCGGAGGAAGGUGGGGAUGACGUCAAGUCAUCAUGCCCCUUAUGUCCAGGGCUUCACGCAUGCUACAAUGGCUGGUACAGAGAGUGGCGAGCCUGUGAGGGUGAGCGAAUCUCGGAAAGCCGGUCUCAGUUCGGAUUGGGGUCUGCAACUCGACCUCAUGAAGUCGGAGUCGCUAGUAAUCGCAGAUCAGCAACGCUGCGGUGAAUACGUUCCCGGGGCU
rnacentral:rRNA from 1 species